rnacentral:rRNA from 1 species
UACGGAGGAUGCAAGCGUUAUCCGGAAUGAUUGGGCGUAAAGCGUCCGCAGGUGGCAAUGUAAGUCUGCUGUCAAAGCGUCUGGCUCAACCAGAUAAAGGCAGUGGAAACUACAUAGCUAGAGUAAGGUAGGGGUAGAGGGAAUUCCUGGUGUAGCGGUGAAAUGCGUAGAGAUCAGGAAGAACACCGGUGGCGAAAGCGCUCUGCUAGGCCGUAACUGACACUGAGGGACGAAAGCUAGGGGAGCGAAUGGG